rnacentral:rRNA from 1 species
UGGGGAAUAUUGCACAAUGGGGGAAACCCUGAUGCAGCGACGCCGCGUGAACGAAGAAGGUAUUCGUAUCGUAAAGUUCUGUCCUAUGGGAAGAUAAUGACAGUACCAUAGAAGAAAGCUCCGGCUAAAUACGUGCCAGCAGCCGCGGUAAUACGUAUGGAGCGAGCGUUGACCGGAAUUAUUGGGCGUAAAGGGUACGCAGGCGGUUUAAUAAGUCGAAUGUUAAAGAUCGGGGCUCAACCCCGCAAAGCAUUGGAAACUGAUAAACUUGAGUAGUGGAGAGGAAAGGGGAAUUCCUAGUGUAGUGGUGAAAUACGUAGAUAUUAGGAGGAAUACCAGUAGCGAAGGCGACUUUCUGGACACAAACUGACGCUGAGGUACGAAAGCGUGGGGAGCAAACAGG